UACUGCUAUCGAGAUUCGACUAAGCCAUGCGAGUCGAAUGUUCUUCGUGAACAUGGCGGACUGCUCAGUAACACGUGGACAACCUACCCUUCGGUCCGGCAUAAUCCUGGGAAACUGGGGAUAAUUCCGGAUAAGCCACAUAAGCUGGAAUGCUCUGUGGUCCAAAGCUCCGGUGCCGAAGGAUGGGUCUGCGGCCUAUCAGGGUUGUAGUGGGUGUAAUGUACCUACUAGCCUACGACGGGUACGGGUUGUGAGAGCAAGAGCCCGGAGAUGGAUUCUGAGACACGAAUCCAGGCCCUACGGGGUGCAGCAGGCGCGAAAACUUUACAAUGCGGGAAACCGUGAUAAGGGAAUCUCGAGUGCCAGCAUAUAAUGUUGGCUGUCCAGAUGCCUAAAAAGCAUCUGUUA
rnacentral:rRNA from 1 species